rnacentral:rRNA from 1 species
UACAGAGGUCUCAAGCGUUGUCCGGAAUUAUUGGGCGUAAAGCGCGCGCAGGCGGUCCUUUAAGUCUGAUGUGAAAGCCCACGGCUCAACCGUGGAGGGUCAUUGGAAACUGGGGGACUUGAGUGCAGAAGAGGAAAGCGGAAUUCCACGUGUAGCGGUGAAAUGCGUAGAGAUGUGGAGGAACACCAGUGGCGAAGGCGGCUUUCUGGUCUGUAACUGACGCUGAGGCGCGAAAGCGUGGGGAGCAAACAGG